AUCCAAGUGCGUCCGACGUAUAUGAAGCUCCUUUUGUCAAUUUUUUUUUUUCAAAAUUAGAAAUAGAAUUACCAUUUUGUGUAAUGGCAACAGACAAAAGGGAGUUCCAUAUUUGGUAAGAGGCACAGCAGAACAACCCAUGAACGAUGACCAUUGCAGAGUUGCACCUUGCGUCCUGGUAUGUCUCAUAUGUAGAUGAGAUAUCUCAAUGAAUAUCCUCUUCCUACAUCAGUAAUUCGCUAAUCAAGGAGUCGGCGCUUCGGGUUGGGCACUGCGGAUGAUCCUGACCACUCUUCAUGUCUGUAGCUUCACUUUCUUCCAACCAUCACUACUCUCUUUUUGUAUGGUUGUGUUAAUCAGCAUCAGGUACACUGUGUUUUCCAAUCAACCUUGACAGAGAUGAUGUAAUUGGCAUAUCACCGCCCAGCUGACGCUGCUGAUUUAGGAUGACCCCACUACAAAGCUCGGCCAAAGCAGUGGAAUCAAUAUUUAAACAUUAUGCAUUACAAAGUGCAAAAUGAGAAUCAAAACUGUGAUCAAACAAUGAUUCUUUACUACCAGGCCAUCAUCUCAGGUGAGGGAACCACUCCUAGUCCAAAAUAAAUCUAUGGCCUCCUGCACCGCAAAACUUCCAUAAAAACCCAAUUCCCAAGAUUUUUUUUUUUCAAAUUGGUUGACAAUUUGUGUUCAAUAUAUAUAUUCAAGCAAUUGCAAGUCUGAAGCUUGUUUUACAA